rnacentral:rRNA from 1 species
CCGGGCUCAACCUGGGAACUGCAUCUGAUACUGGCAAGCUUGAGUCUCGUAGAGGGGGGUAGAAUUCCAGGUGUAGCGGUGAAAUGCGUAGAGAUCUGGAGGAAUACCGGUGGCGAAGGCGGCCCCCUGGACGAAGACUGACGCUCAGGUGCGAAAGCGUGGGGAGCAAACAGGAUUAGAUACCCUGGUAGUCCACGCCGUAAACGAUGUCGACUUGGAGGUUGUGCCCUUGAGGCGUGGCUUCCGGAGCUAACGCGUUAAGUCGACCGCCUGGGGAGUACGGCCGCAAGGUUAAAACUCAAAUGAAUUGACGGGGGCCCGCACAAGCGGUGGAGCAUGUGGUUUAAUUCGAUGCAACGCGAAGAACCUUACCUGGUCUUGACAUCCACGGAAGUUUUCAGAGAUGAGAAUGUGCCUUCGGGAACCGUGAGACAGGUGCUGCAUGGCUGUCGUCAGCUCGUGUUGUGAAAUGUUGGGUUAAGUCCCGCAACGAGCGCAACCCUUAUCCUUUGUUGCCAGCGGUCCGGCCGGGAACUCAAAGGAGACUGCCAGUGAUAAACUGGAGGAAGGUGGGGAUGACGUCAAGCCAUCAUGGCCCUUACGACCAGGGCUACACACGUGCUACAAUGGCGCAUACAAAGAGAAGCGACCUCGCGAGAGCAAGCGGACCUCAUAAAGUGCGUCGUAGUCCGGAUUGGAGUCUGCAACUCGACUCCAUGAAGUCGGAAUCGCUAGUAAUCGUGGAUCAGAAUGCCACGGUGAAUACGUUCCCGGGCCUUGUACACACCGCCCGUCACACCAUGGGAGUGGGUUGCAAAAGAAGUAGGUAGCUUAACCUUCGGGAGGGCGCUUACCACUUUGUGAUUCAUGACUGGGGUGAAGUCGUAACAAGGUAACCGUAGGGGAACCUGCGGUUGGAUCACCU